CGUCACUGCGGGCGUCACAACUUCUUCUCCUUCUUCGGCGGCUUGCGAGCCAGCUUAUGUAUCUGCAUACCGCCGCCUCCGGAGCUGGAGCGCGAGGAAACUUCAACUGGACCUAUAAAUUCCUGGGAUUCGGUGUAUAACACUUGCAUAACGCAGCUCAGAUCUUCUACAAGAGCAAUGGCAACAUCUGAGCCCUGUGACAAAUGAGCUCUACAAGUCCCAGAAACACUUCUAUCCUUGGAAAAUCCAGUGUCCACUGGUCACAUUCCCUCCAAACCCUGUCCUACAGAGUGUUCAUCAGAACCAGAACGAGUGGGAAAGAGGUGGAAAUGAAAAAUCUACCAAAUAACUUUAAAAAAUAAAGUAACCUGUUUCAUCACAAUCGUUUAAUGUCCAGAAGCAUCAUGGCGGCAUGUUUUUGUUGUCGAGCCAAAUGGAUUCUGAAUGCAACUUGCAUUGCAAAAAACACAAAAAUAUUCAAUGUGAAAUAUGUAAUUUAUAUGAUUCAUGCAGAACUGAUGAGUCUUCAUGGGCGAGUGUUUUAGCACUCAGUUUACAUUCUUUCCUUUGUUCAAUUUUAUUAUUGUUUAUAAAAAUAAACACGCAUCCACAUCUGGAUCCUGCUGCACGUCACAUCGAGCUGUUUCUUAAAUUAGAUUUCUAUGAAAUCUUGAAUUUCUAUGAAUUAAAAUAUUCCACUCAACCAUGAAAAUGUUAUUUAAAAAAUAAAUAAAAUGCUUUAUCCAGACUAA